CAGAGAGAGAGAGAGAGAGAGAAGGGGGAAAGUGAGAAAGAAAGGAUGAAUGUGACAGGUGGGAAGAGAGAGAGAGAGAGAGAGAGAGAGAGAGAGAGAGAAGAAAGAAAGAAAGAAAGCAGUGCAAUUUACUUAGACUUGAGUAUUUCAACAACUCUUGUCUUUCAACUUGUUAGACAAUCACAUGUACCUACGGGGGAAGGAUGGCCAGCCACACAGGAGGGUGAUUUUCACUGAGGAGGAGGCCGCGCUGACCGAGAUGCAUGCUGGCCAUUUCGGUGUGAAGCACAUGAUUGCCAAAAUCAACCUACGCUUCUUCUGUCGUGGGAUUGUCAAGGAUGUGGACAGCUGGGUCAGUACCUGUCUAGCCUGACAGAAGUUUGUGAGGGUGAAGAUUGUGGGCGCUGGAGUUGUUUCACCAUGGCACAUGAUCGGUAAGAGUCACAUUUCAAAUUUUGCCCUGAUAAGUUGUUUUGUAAUGGUUGCUUCAUUUGAUCACAGCAGAGAUCAAUAUUAUAGAAUGUGUGUGUGUGUCAGUAUCCUUACAAAUAUGCAAACCUGCAUAAUGUAUGACAGAUACGGCUAAGAAGGAAGUAAUCUUCUCUCUAAGACUUGAAAUGUUAGGGGUGGACCUCAGACUCUUCACAAAAUCCAGGAAUAGCAACAGCUGGUGUCUAAAACAGCAACUGAUUACUUUACCAAGUGGGUGGAGGCAAUACCCAUUAAGGUCAGUAAAGGAAGAAAAUGUGCUUAACUCAAAAAUUCCCUUCUGUAACCCAUUAAAAAGGGUGCUUGGAACCAAACCUUUAUUUUCAUUUUGUAUGAUACCCAUCAAGGACCAGACUUACGAGGCCACCUCCAGGGCUUUGAUGGACAUCCUCAACACCCACAGUUCUCCUGAGGUCAUCUUAAGUGACCGAGGUCGUGAACUCUGGAAAAAGGUUUGGAUGAACGGACGAACCAGAUCCUCAAAACUGCCAUGGAGUUGACGGGUACCAGGAAUGGUGAGAGGACAACCUGAAGGUAAUUCUCUUUGCACACAACAGCAGCGUCCAGUCCUCCACCGAGUACUUUCCCUAUUGCCUGCUGUACAGUUGGGAGCCGCAGCUGUUGACUGAGGUAAUAUACUGUUCUUUCAAAUUUGUGAUUGACUUAGUGUUGUUGUUUGCCAAAUUAUUUUUGUGGGGGGGUUGUCUGUUUUGCAUGUUAUUUUGACAUUAAUACGUGUCACUUAUCAGUUUGCAAACGAUGUAAAAAAUGUAAUAAAAAUAAUAGCGUUAGUAAUGGUCUCUUUUUUGCUUUCUUGAGUAAGGCAACUCCAAAAUGCAGGUGUUUCAGUCUAGCUCUGUGCUUUCUGUGGUGAUGGGGCAGCCAGCAGAAAAUAUGGAGCGUAGGGGUUGGUAAUGUUCUCUAGUUGCGCCGUGAUUGGCUCAGUUUUCUGUCACUCAUGGGGACACUACGUCGCCGCUAAAAAAAUUCAAGCCCCUUAGGGGCUAAAAUAGAGUUACAUUAGAAGUGCCUAUCCAAAAAGGCUCAAGGUCAUUGGCCACAGAUAAAAUUACUUCAAAUCAUGUUAUAUAGUAGCUUUGAUUUGGACUGAUCAUGUCAACAUCAUACUUUCAAAAUCUUAGCUAGCACUCGUCAUCAUUAAUCAAGUCGACAAUAUACUGGAAAAUCCUUUUUUAAUCCUUGUCAUAUGAAGAGAAAUAAUGAAGAGAAAUUAUAGAUAAAACGUAUCGGUUACCAUCGGACAUAAACAUUACACAACAAGUUGGAAAUCGCAAAUUCAACAACAAAUCUGUAUUUAAGGGUCUCUUUUCCAAGCUUAAAAAAUUAUAAACAUUCAACAUUGUCCAUGCUGUCAAUCCAGCAUGAUUUCUGCCACGCUCAAAACAACUGUUAUCUCGGAACUGGGAAUCUGAUUUCAGUGAGUUCAAGACAACUGGGAACUCAGGGAAAAAACAAGCUCCGACUGGGAAAAUACGUUUUGAACGGUCAUCCAACUCGGAACGGUAAGUCGGGAACUCUGGCCUCUUUCUAGAGGUACGACCUGAAGAUCACUGACAUCAUCAUGAUUCAACCUUGUUUUGUUCCGAGUUCCUAGUUGUCUUGAAAGCACCAUAAAUCCAGAGAAUGCCAGACUUUGAUGACACAGUUUGAUGACAAAAUUUGCCCACGAAGGACUGCCGCACCACCUUCCUGUUCAAGUGAGCACAGCACAACAAGUUGAGUCCAAAAAUGUAUUGUAUGCUCCUGCAUAAAUUAUUCAAUAUGCCUGGGAGAUAUGUAUAUUGUGUAGCUAAGAAAGUAAUACUAAGUGUAUGUUAGUAACCCAUGUGUCUCACUCUAAUAAUUUGGUCUAUUUUCCCCUCUUCAUUUUGCCAACUGUUCUGACUUGGUUGUGCACAUUUAGCCUAUAACCUGUUUUAUAGAAAUGUAAUCAUUGAAUAUUGUAAGAGCUUUUGUUGUCUGCUUAUAUGCCCCUUUUAUUUAUCAUAUGGUUCUGACUUGGUGUACAGGGAGAACACUGACGCAAAGGCCAAUGUUCUGAAUUCUGUCGCUGUACAUUUCAAACGUGCUGAACAAAUUGUUAUGUUGACUACGUCCGUCCUAGCUCACUCAUUAAUGUCUUAAUCAAAAUGACGGAUUACCUCUUAUCUGCUUGUCGUCCCCUUAUGCCAUAGUUUGUACAUCUCAAUUGUCAGUAUAAACCAAAUUUUGUUAAGCAAGUCAGCCAUUUCAGAUAUGAUUUUUUUAAAGGUAGUAAAUGAAGCUGAAUUAACUGUUUCGCUGCCAGACAAGGCUCUGCUUAUAGCCAGGUGUAGAAGUGGUAAGGUGUUGGGACAGCUUUAUGUAUCCCCAAACAGUUUGUGGGCACUGUAUCAAAUAAAAUAAAAAAUGGCCACAUGCACCUUACAGUGAAAUGCUUACUUACAAGCCCAAACCAACAAUGCAGUUUUAAGAAAAAUAAGUAAAAAAUAAAAAAUAAAAGUAACAAAUAAUUAAGGAGCAUCAGUAAAAUAACAAUAGCGAGGCUAUAUACAGGGGGUACUGGUAAAUAGUUAAUGUUCGAGGGCACCGGUUAGUCGAGGUAAUUGAGAUAAUAUAUACAUGUAGGUAGAGUUAAAGUGACUAUGCAUAGAUAAUAAACAGAGUAGCAGCAGCGUAAAAUAUGGGUGGGUGGGCAAUGUAAAUAGUCUGGUUAGCCAUUUGAUUAGCUGAUCAGGAGCAUGGCUUGGGGGUAGAAGCUGUUAAGAAGCCUUUUCAACCUAGAUUUGGUGCGCCGGUACCGCUUGCCGUGUGGUAGCAGAAAGAACAGUCUAUGACUAGUGUGGCUGGAGUCUAUGAUGAUUUUUAGGGCCUUCCUCUGACACCGCCUGGUAUAGAGGUCCUGGAUGGCAGGAAGCUUGACCUCAGUAAUGUACUGGGCCAUACG
rnacentral:lncRNA from 1 species